UUCCGGGGCUAAAACUUACUACCGAAGCUACGGCAUCAGUAAUGAUGGGUAGGGGAGCUUCCCAUACGGGUUGAAGCAUGACCGUAAGGACAUGUGGACAGUAUGGGAGUGAGAAUGUUGGCAUGAGUAGCGAGAUGUGGGUGAGAAUCCCACAGGCCGUAAACCCAAGGUUUCCAGGGGAAGGUUCGUCCGCCCUGGGUUAGUCGGGACCUAAGCUGAGGCCGAAAGGCGUAGGUGAGGGACAACAGGUUGAUAUUCCUGUACUACCGAUAACCGUUUGAGAGAAGGGAUGACACAGUAGGAUAAGCUAAGCACACAGUGGGUGGUGUGUGAGCAGGCAGUGCGGCAGACAAAGUAGGCAGAUCGGCUUUGAUAAUGAUGGGAUGUGAUGGGGAGCGAAAGUUAGGCGUGAAG
rnacentral:rRNA from 1 species